rnacentral:rRNA from 1 species
AUUGAACGCUGGCGGCAUGCUUUACACAUGCAAGUCGAACGGUAACAGGUUAAGCUGACGAGUGGCGAACGGGUGAGUAAUGCAUCGGAACGUGCCCGGUCGUGGGGGAUAACGCAGCGAAAGCUGCGCUAAUACCGCAUACGAUCUGAGGAUGAAAGCGGGGGACCGUAAGGCCUCGCGCGAUCGGAGCGGCCGAUGUCAGAUUAGGUAGUUGGGGGGGUAAAGGCUCACCAAGCCAACGAUCUGUAGCUGGUCUGAGAGGACGACCAGCCACACUGGGACUGAGACACGGCCCAGACUCCUACGGGAGGCAGCAGUGGGGAAUUUUGGACAAUGGGGGAAACCCUGAUCCAGCCAUGCCGCGUGAGUGAAGAAGGCCUUCGGGUUGUAAAGCUCUUUCGGCCGGGACGAAAUCGCACGCGUGAAUAUCGCGUGUGGAUGACGGUACCGGAAGAAGAAGGACCGGCUGACUACGUGCCAGCCGCCGCGGUAA